rnacentral:rRNA from 1 species
UACGGAGGGAGCUAGCGUUGUUCGGAAUUACUGGGCGUAAAGCGCGCGUAGGCGGCUUUGUAAGUUAGAGGUGAAAGCCCGGGGCUUAACUCCGGAACUGCCUUUAAGACUGCAUCGCUUGAAUCCGGGAGAGGUGAGUGGAAUUCCGAGUGUAGAGGUGAAAUUCGUAGAUAUUCGGAAGAACACCAGUGGCGAAGGCGGCUCACUGGACCGGUAUUGACGCUGAGGUGCGAAAGCGUGGGGAGCAAACAGG